ensembl:snRNA U6 U6 spliceosomal RNA
GUGCUCACUUUGACAGCACAUAUACUAAAAUUGAAACAAUACAGAGAGGAUUAACAUGGCCCCUGCACAAGGAUGACAUGCAAAUUCGUGAAGCAUUCCUUUUUUUU